AGGGAUUUCAGGUCAGGGCUGGUGGAUUUGCAUGUGGGUGGAAAAUGCCUGCCACACUUCCGAUGCUGCCAGCACCUCUUAGACCCAAGGGUGCUGUGAUUCAGGGCUGAGCUUUUGCAGAGGGGUUGUGUCACUGUGGUAGUAGUAGUUACCAGUCCAAGGUAGCUUCUCUUACUCUCACAAUGACACACGCCACCACAAAAAUUUGGUCCCUGCUGAUGUCUCUGUGCCUACUCUGGCUUCCUCAUGACCGGCUCUGCAGUGGGGAUUCUGUGUUUCUGCUGCGUUUCUGGGAGCUACAUGGUGGCCAGAGACCACUGGAACAUGAUGGUGGCCUGUGUGAGCAGACAUCUGGACAGAGCCAGAGCCACAAGUUCACAGGAAAUUUCUGCAAGGAUGCUGUUAUGUGUGAUGGACAGAGGUGUGGAUAAAAGAGCUCCACAGAGCCUUGGCUUGAGAUGCAAUCACCUCUCAGAUGGGGGUCAAGGGAGCCAUCACUUCCAGCUUGGAGAAGGACAGCUUGAGUGUGCUCUCCAAGCAGGGAGGGCAGCUUCAGUGACCACUUCUUUCAGCCAGGCCCAUCUCCAGACAGCUAGUUCAGCUGUGAGCUCAACAGGAGGUGAACCAUUACGAAGUUAGUGCCUCCCCAUCCAAUCACCUCUCCAGGUAUCUCUUCAUCAAGUUGAUGAUCAGGAUUCCUUUCACAUAGUGCAGGAGGCAGUCCCCCUGACAGGACACUCAAGGCACACCAAAGGUAGAGCCUGAUCACAUCCCCAGGCACUCACAGGAAAGUGCAGGAAGGCAUAAAGAAGCAUUUUUGUAGCACAGAAUCUGACCAAUUUUUUCAAGCCUUAUACAGGUAGUUGAAGAAAAACAUGCUCAUUUUAAAGGAAAGGUUCUGCACCUCAUAUUACUCACUCCUGUGUCAUACUCAAAUCAUCAGCAUUGUUUUUAGUAUUUACCAGAUUGAUCCAGUACAGACAGGGCUGCAGGUAGAGGCACCGUGCAAUCCUUAGGUAUAUGGAAAUUUCUGGGUCUCUGCCCGUAUUUUCCUAGGAGAUACCAUGCAGAGAACAGAUUUUUUUUUUUUUACAAUGAGCUUCCUUUUGAUUAGUAUAUGUUUGCUACCAUAAUAAGUACACUCAUCUUUAGAAAUUGGUAUUUAUACAAAUUGCAUCUUGUUUAUUUUAUUCCCAUUUAUUCUCUCUUUCCCUCCUCUGCUUUAUCCAGAUCCUUUUCCUAUCUCCAUAGAGUCUACCUCACUGUUUCCACUGUAUCACUUUAUUUUUUUUUCAUUUUUUUUCAUUUUUUUGUGGUACCGGAGGUUGAACUCAUGACCCUGCGCUUGUCAGGCAGGCUCUUAAGCCACUGAGCUAUAUCCCUAGCUCCACUGUAUCACUUUAAUUUUGCUCUAUAAGUCAUUUAUAUUUUGGAUCUCUCUCAGAAACAACACAGCUCUCAACCACCAGCAGGCAUGUGCCACAGGCUGUGCAUUCCCACUGCAGAAUGGCAAUGUCUGUCCCAUUUAAAGCUUCCUCCUGUGCAUACUUACUUCUGUGAUCUAAGCUGAGUGCUACCACCAUGUGGAAUACCAUUCACAAUGCAGAAAACUCAGAACGAGAAGCAAAGCAGUGCUGUCCCUUCUUUUCUCCUUCCCCAACAACACUUACAUUAGGCCAGCAGUGGCUGGGUGAAUAGUGCUUCAAGUUGUAUUCUACACACUCUCUCUCUCUCUCUUGCUCUCUCUCUCUCUUACACACACACACACACACACACACACACACACACACACACACGGCAGUUACAUGCAAGUCUCGAUGUUUUUACUUGUUGGUGUGUGCAUGAUACAUACACACAGACCUAUAUCUGUACUGUGGAGAGAUGCUGAGCAAAGGAAUGAUGGAAUCUGAGUGAGAUAAGGAAGGGACCUUGGGGAACAACAGUCCCAUGCUCCUGGAAUUCAUAAUUAGAACUUACAAGAGAAUUUGCAGGACAACAUGUUACCCAAGAGCAUGUUAGUGCCAGAGAUGUUUGAUUGGACAAUGUGUUCCUUCUGCCCUGAUAAGAUUGCCUAAGUUACAUAGACUUGUGUCAUGUAAUAAUCCUGUCACAUUCCAGCCCUGUCCCCCAAACUCCUAUACAAUAUGUUGCAAAUUGCUUUUCUUGUAUGUAUGUUUUCUCAUGUGCUUGAGUUACAAACAACUGAAGAGGUCUCAGCUGGUUGCUGUUUCCCUGAGGCUCACUUAUGCCCAACAAGUAUAAUCUCUGAUUUGUAGGUGAUUGAAUUAAAUCUCAUCUCCAAGUAAUAAUCUUCAUACUCUAUGCAGCUGUAAUCACACACUGUGACACUUCAUCAUCGCUGAACCUCUAUAACCUGCUUUUCCAGGAAAAGAACCUUUGUUGGAAUGCAUCUGCCACAACAAUUCAACAAACCCGCCUCAGCUCCCCAAGUACAUGUGUUCACAGUGGGCUUGACCAUGUCCCCUGUUUUAUUUUCAGGUUGUACUUGUUUAUGUACUUCGUAUAUGUCAGUGACCCUCGGUCCAUACAACACUGACUUGGAUCCAGGCACAGGGGUACAUGCCUACAAUCCCAGCACUGUAGGAGACUUGGGCAGGAAGACUGCAUAUUUGAGCCCAGCCUGGGUGACUUAGUGACUUAGUGAGUCCCUAUCUCCAAAUUUAAAAAAAAAAUUAAAAAGAGUUGGGCAUAUAGCUCAAUGCAAAGCCCUGGGUUCAAACCUCAGACUGUACACACACACACACACACACACACACACACACACACACACACACAGUGACUUGGUUUACCUUGACUUUAUGGACUAACUUAAAGGUUGCCUUCCUCACACUGAAAGCUGUUCCAUGGAGGAUAAUGAAGAGUUCUGUGCUUCCUAGGUUUUCUUUGUGUCUCUGCAUGCAUGCAGAGUUCACUUUAUAAAUAAUGACACACAUUUGACUGAGGUGCUGGCCAGUGGUCCUGGCCUGGAUUCUUUAUUCCCAUCUCUGCGAAAGAGUAGUACCAUCAUGAAGGACUGAGGAGGUUCUGUGCCUGCUCAACAUCACAUAGCCAAAGAUUGGCAGGGAGGCAGGGCAGACUCUGGCACUAAAGGCCAUCCUAGCAACCACUGUGUGGUGUGACAUUAAUGGCAUGAGUCUCCCUGGUGCUGAGUUUUUAGUUUCCUUAGAACGGGUUUUCUUUUCAAUUUACAGUGCUGUGAAUUAAACUGCUUUGCCCAAAUAACAUAAAAACAAGGUCUCCUUAUAGAGAUGCAAGUACAAAAUCUGAAGAUUGGAACUUUCUUUGUGCAGCCUUCUGUAACCCUUCUAUGCCAGCUGGUCAGGGGGGAUGUAGUUGUGCCACAUGACUGGCCCCAAUAGCACCAAGUCCACAUGUGAAUCACCAGUGUCACAAUUAUUAACAAUUCAUGCUGGUUUGAUGGCUAAACCAACAUAUGAAGGUCUGGAGAGCCAGAUCCCCCACACCCUUGUUCCCUGAUACAGCUAUUCCCACAUCUGGCCAGAACCGGAAGUCAAGCCACUUCUCACUUGCAUCCCAGGAAUGACCAUCUCAGCUGGACACCUCUGGCCAGUCCUGACUGCCCAGAUGACAGUCAAUACUUGGCAGUUAGUGCAGUGCUAGAGGAGAUAAAAAUCUUGAAAGCAGCAGCCUCAGCACCCACCUGAGGAAACCAAGAGCAAUGAACACAAGCAGUAGAAAGGAAAAUGGGAAAAAGAAAUCAGUGAAAUAGAACAGAAAAAGUAGAGAAAUCAAUGAAGACAAAGCUGAUAUUGAGAAGGAUCAAUGAAAAUGACUAAACUUUAGCCAUACUGAUAAUAAAAGAAGACAUGAGCAAUCAAUGUGAGCGACUUGGGGGGUUCAGCUCUGCAGGGUAAAGAUGAAUAGGGAAAUAAGGUAAGAGUUCAAGCCAAGGAGUUGGAAAUUUUAGAAGGAACACAUGCAUUCACUGAAAGGCCCUGGAAAAGAAAUAGAAAAAUUAAAAUUUUACCUAAAAACCUUUCCUAGAAAGGAAAUUUUCAAUGGCGUAGUCUAUCAGAAAAUGAAGGAAGAAAUUAUGCUAAUUUUAUUUAAAUUGUUUAGAGAAUUCAAGUGGAGAGAAUACUUCCCAACCUACUCUGUGAAGCCACUAUUAUCAUUCCAAAUAUAGGCAAGUAUAUUACAAAGCAAGAAAAUGACCCUGGAGACUAACCUUUCUGUGAAUAUAUCUAUAAUAAUUAUCAGCAACUCUGAGAAAAGUCAAUCCAACACUAAGCUAAGAAUAUAACACAACCAAAUGCAUUUGCACAGAAUUCACACAUGGUCAAUCAUUCCAAAAGUAAAAUAAUGUUGAUGGGUUUUCCACCUUAAUAAAAAUUCUGCUAGGUCAUCAUGGUGGUGAACCAAUAUGGCGCCGCCCACUCUAGGCUGUGUGGCAGGCUUUGCCUUCCUCCUCCCUGGUCAUAUUACAACUUCCUACUUCCUUUUUUACAACAUCCUGUUUCCCUCUUCCCACCCACUGUCCAGUCACUGCCCACUAAGUCACACAGACCAUCCUCUGAACCCCAUCCCCAGCCUGGCCCUAUAUAGCCUUUUUUCCCCCAGCCAGGCCCUCAGAAGCUCCAUGUCCUUCUUUUCUGCUGUGAUCUGCUCUGUGCCUGCAAUAAAGGCAUUUUUUUUACUUUGUUCUCUUUUUACUUGUGCCAAAAAACCUAACAAAUGUAAUAUUUCAUUAUGUUAAUAAGUUAAAGGUGAGGAAAUGUGUAUUGCCUUAGCACCCACAGAGAGAGCAUUUGAAAAAAUCUAGUGCUCUGAUUAAAAUAAAUCAAAAAUCAGG
ensembl:lincRNA uncharacterized LOC106149619